UCAUUCAUGCCGCGAUCAAAACAACUGGGAAAUCUGGAGAAGAAAAAGCGCGCUCCGACUGGGAAAGAUAUUUGAAUUCCACCUCCGGCCUCUUUCUAGAGCUCCGACGUCAUGAUUUGACCUCAAAACAACAACUGCUUCAAAGGGGGCGUGGCAGAUAUCAAAACUCUUCCGCGAAGGACUCCGGUAGGAUACACAUGACCAUCCUCGAUGAAAGAUGGCUAUCAAGGAGGGGAGGACAAUCUUCUGUUCGACUACUAACAUAUUGACUUCUCAACCACCGACAACUUAUUGGUUUCUAGGUCACUGAAGAUAGAGGCUGGAGGACGAGCUUUUGCCCAAAUGACAAAAGGCUCUUGCGUCCUUUCUCCUCGCCUCCUUCUCAAAACCCAUUGGAAAAGGUCAGAGGGGAUGGACUUCUGACUUUCUCAUCCAAUGGGAUUUGAGAAGAUGGCAAGAAGAGAAGACUCGAGGAGUAUGCUAUUGAGAUUCUCCCAGAUGGCUAAUUUUCAUACAGGAUUUACCCCAGUGUUUUACCCAAAAGGCAGACUUUUCUGUUUCCAUCUACGCGGGCCAGCACCCGUGUCUCACUGGGCCAUGGCUCCGGUGGAUCCACUUUCACCUGGGGCCAAAGCCAGGCCACUGGUACUUUUCAGCCCUCAUCUACAUAACAAUGGCUCACUGUGAAUUUGAACACCUUUGCACAAAAUAACCAUCUUAGUCUAUGCCGCUCUGACAUUGCUCAUUCAAAUAUUUGUAUUUCCUUAAUUCCAUUCCUUUACUUUAGAUUUGUGUGUAAUGUGUGUAUUGUUGUGAAAUUGUUAGAUAUCACUGCACUGUUGGAGCUAGAAACACAAGUAUUUUGCUACAUCUGCAAUAACAUCUGCUAAACAUGUGUAUGUGACAAAUAAAAUGUUAUUUAAUUUUGA